rnacentral:misc_RNA from 1 species
AAAAAAAGUGGGACCUACACAAGGGCUCCACCUUUGACAAACUCAGUGAAAGCCAAUGCAACCAAACCCAACAUAGCAAACCUCCCAUUCCAGAGCUCAGCAUCAGAGCUCAUAAUCCCCUCUGAACGAGACUCCACACUCACCCCUUUGAAUAGAGGUAUCAAAGAUGCUAGGGUUAGCACAAUGCUUGUCCCCACAAACCAUGGAACUCCACCGUUGGAUAUCUGGGCCAACACAUCCUCACCCUUCGAUAGUUCCACCGCCAUCGCGGCCACGAACCCGAUCAUCGCCAGCCUGCCGUUGAUUCUCUCCGGUGCGGGUCCACUGAAUGCUAACACGUCAGAAAAUUUGGUGCUUACCUUUGGCUUCGGUGGAGGAAAAGAGAUUGGCUGUGAUGUUGGCGGAGGAGUUGUAAUGGGUGUCACAUCCUUAUUUUGAUCAUCCUCUGCCAUGCACCGCACUUGCAUGCCAGCAUUCCUCUGAAGACGUGGCGCGUAGCUGCAAGGAGUGAACUGACUGAACCUUGCUCUCGCCGUGACACCUGACACUGGUCUUGCCAGGAUGGACUGCAUUGCUGACGUGGCCAUUUGAAAAAUAGAAAGUCUAAUAGGAAAUAACAAGUU